AACUUUUGGCAACGGAUCACUUGGCUCUCGCAUCGAUGAAGAACGCAGCGAAAUGCGAUAAGUAAUGUGAAUUGCAGAAACCCCGUGAGUCAUCGAAUCCUUGAACGCACCUUGCGCCCCGGGGUAUUCCCCGGGGCAUGCCUGUCUGAGUGUUGCGCACCUCUCAACCACCGCAGGUCUACCUGCGCGCUGGCUUGGAUCGUGGCCGCCGGCGAACGCACGUUUGCCCGGCCGAAAUGCAUGCGGAGCGCAUACGCGUCGCCGCGACGUCACCCGCGUUGUAGACCCCUCGCCAGUGAUGUUGCAGCAGCGCGGCUCCCACGGAUCAUUAUUUCAACCUCAGAUCAAGCAGGACUACCCGCUGAACUUAAGCAUAUCAAUAAGCGGAGGCU
rnacentral:misc_RNA from 1 species